AGCACCUUUGUUUUCUUUCUGAGAUAACAUCAGGAAAACAUCUCACAAAAUAAAAUUAUGCAUUAAAAGAAGACUUUGAAAUUUACUAUAAAAGAAACUAAGAAAUAUACAGAAAAGAAAAGGGUGUAAUAAAGGAUAUGGAUGCAUCAGAAGCUUCAACAAAUAAUUAUCAGCACACACCUGUUGCACUGCACCCAAUCCUAUGGGCAGCUCUUUAUGGAAAGCCCAACAUACAUCCUCAUUCACCAGUAAGUAAGGAUGUCUGUCUCAAAGUGGACACCCUUCACUAGGAGGACCUCAGUGACCCCGUUACAGCCACACAGAUGAAUUCCAUCAAAAAUGCCAUCAAUGUCACAUCAUGUACAAACUUACCUAAUUUUGAAAAAAAAAAUCAGUUAAUUUUAACAAGUAUCAAAACAUUUUACACCUACUAUUGCUGUGUUUCCUUGAAGCUUAUUAAAAAAAAAAAAA
rnacentral:lncRNA from 1 species